rnacentral:rRNA from 1 species
AUUGAACGCUGGCGGCAUGCCUUACACAUGCAAGUCGAACGGCAGCACGGGGCAACCUGGUGGCGAGUGGCGAACGGGUGAGUAAUGUAUCGGAACGUACCUUUCAGUGGGGGAUAACGUAGCGAAAGUUACGCUAAUACCGCAUAUUCUGUGAGCAGGAAAGCAGGGGAUCUUAGGACCUUGCGCUGAUUGAGUGGCCGAUAUCAGAUUAGCUAGUUGGUGAGGUAAAGGCUCACCAAGGCGACGAUCUGUAGCGGGUCUGAGAGGAUGAUCCGCCACACUGGAACUGAGACACGGUCCAGACUCCUACGGGAGGCAGCAGUGGGGAAUUUUGGACAAUGGGCGCAAGCCUGAUCCAGCCAUGCCGCGUGAGUGAAGAAGGCCUUCGGGUUGUAAAGCUCUUUCAGCCGGGAAGAAAACGCAUGGGUUAAUACCCUGUGUGGAUGACGGUACCGGAAUAAGAAGCACCGGCUAACUACGUGCCAGCAGCCGCCGUAAGAC